UACGGGGGGAGCAAGCGUUGUUCGGAUUUACUGGGCGUAAAGGGCGCGUAGGCGGCCACGCACGUCCGUUGUGAAAUCGCCCGGCUCAACUGGGCGGGGUCGGCGGAUACGGCGUGGCUGGAGCAAGCUAGGGGGCAAUGGAAUUCCCGGUGUAGUGGUGGAAUGCGUAGAUAUCGGGAGGAACACCAGUGGCGAAGGCGGUUGCCUGGAGCUUUGCUGACGCUGAGGCGCGAAAGCGUGGGGAGCGAUCCGG
rnacentral:rRNA from 1 species